AGAGUCCUGAGAGGAAACGGACAAAGACUUUAACAGCUUGUAGCUUCACUUUUUCCCACAGUGUCCUAAUGAGGAGGCGAGGCUGCAGUGAUACGACAUUACAGAUGCGGUGGAGUUUUACAUCCCUGGUUUAGUUUAGCUACGUUUAUUUAUUAGAAAAAUACCACAAAUAAAAAAAGGGUUAGGGUUACGGUGAUAAAAUGACAGGAGAGGAAGGCAGCCUGAAAGGCUCAUUCAGAGUCCUCCCCUGUUUCAGCUGGAAUCAUUAUUAAAGAAAAACAAUACAAACAACACACAGCUAACAAAGAAAUGAUAUCUUCUGUACUUUGUUUUUAAGAAAUAAAACCUGUUAACAAGUAUUAGUAUUAAGUAUUUAUCACUUCCAGUUAGUUAGUUAGUUUAACGUUAGAACUGUUCAGAACCAGAGUUUAACAUUAGAACUGUUCGGUACCAGAGUUUAACAUUAGAACUGUUCGGUACCAGAGUUUAACAUUAGAACUGUUCUGAACCAGAGUUUAACAUUAGAACUGUUCGGUACCAGAGUUUAACAUUAGAACUGUUCUGAACCAGAGUUUAACAUUAGAACUGUUCGGUACCAGAGUUUAACAUUAGAACUGUUCAGAACCAGAGUUUAACGUUAGAACUGUUCGGUACCAGAGUUUAACGUUAGAACUGUUCGGUACCAGAGUUUAACAUUAGAACUGUUCGGUACCAGAGUUUAACAUUAGAACUGUUCAGAACCAGAGUUUAACGUUAGAACUGUUCGGUACCAGAGUUUAACAUUAGAACUGUCCUGUACCAGAGCUUAACAUUAGAGUCCUGUUAGAACUGUUCAGAACCAGAGUUUAAUGUUAGAACUGUUCAGAACCAGAGUUUAACAUUAGAACUGUUCAGUACCAGAGUUUAACAUUAGAACUGUUCGGUACCAGAGUUUAACGUUAGAACUGUUCAGAACCAGAGUUUAACAUUAGAACUGUUCGGUACCAGAGUUUAACAUUAGAACUGUUCAGUACCAGAGUUUAACGUUAGAACUGUUCAGAACCAGAGUUUAACGUUAGAACUGUUCGGUACCAGAGUUUAACAUUAACAUUAACUGCCAGUAUCACUGACCCACCAGUACCACUGACCCACCAGUAUCACAGACCAGUAUCACUGACCCACCAGUACCACUGACCCACCAGUACCACUGACCCACCAGUGUCACUGACCAGUAUCACUGACCCACCAGUACCAUUGACCCACCAGUAUCACUGACCCACCAGUAUCACAGACCAGUACCACAGACAGACAGUACCUCCGUCUGUUCUCCACUCUAACACUAUCACAUGCCUCUUUAUCAGCACGUGUUUGUUCUGCAGUCAGAAUCAAGUUUCGGGCUAACCACCGAGGGCGAACACGGCAGGCCCUGCAGGGGUGGCUGGGAGGCCAUGUCUGCCACGGUGAGAACAGGAUCGGGGCUGUAACUGGAUCCACUGGUCCGGAGGCAGCGGAGACUGGUCAGGGAUCAAAGUUUCGUCUGUCUGAUCUUAUCUGGCUCGAUGAAUGACAAGGAGGAAUGAAACAGCUACAGGGAGUUCACACCUUCAUGAGAGCAGGCAGCAGCUGAGGCUGAUGGGAGGGGAACACAGAGACGUCGGGCGCCAGCGAGCUGAGACUGAUAGCGCAGAGCGAUGACCUUGACACGUUGAGUUUCUACAACGGGAGAUUAGAUUUGAGCCGCCAGAGUCUGAAUGCUUCGUACUGCUGCUCACUGAACCCAGCUGUGCAGAGGAGGCACUCACACAAACCCGACUUCAACCAGUCCACUGAAAUAAAGAGCUAAUACCCCGGCCCCUCAGGGACCUGCUGGGACUGAAGCACCGAACUAAUGUCCUACCACGGACAGCAAAGACAGUCUGAAGUGGAAAGGUAGAAAUGUGAUGGUCAGUGUAACAGUAAUGGUCUACACUGAUUGGGGCAAUACACAUUCCAACACACAUUUUAUUUGGGUUGCAGAAUUUCUUCCUCCAGUUAAAUGCACUUUCCUCAUUUAUUAAGUAAUUACUAAGUAGUAUUAAGUAUUUCAAAUGUGUAUAUUGUUUUGCUGAUGAUGGAGAAAAGAGACCCUUAACUCCUGAUA